UACGGAGGGGGCUAGCGUUGUUCGGAAUUACUGGGCGUAAAGCGCGCGUAGGCGGACCUGCAAGUCGGGGGUGAAAGCCCGAGGCUCAACCUCGGAACUGCCUUCGAUACUGCGGGUCUCGAGUCCGGGAGAGGUGAAUGGAAUUCCUAGUGUAGAGGUGAAAUUCGUAGAUAUUAGGAAGAACACCAGUGGCGAAGGCGGCUCACUGGCCCGGUACUGACGCUGAGGCGCAAAAGCGUGGGGAGCAAACAGG
rnacentral:rRNA from 1 species